rnacentral:lncRNA from 1 species
AAGGAAGGGAAAGAGGGAGGGAGAGAGGAAGGAAGGAAGGGAAGAAGGGAAGGAAGGAAGGAAGGAAGAGGGGAAGGAGGGGGGAGGAGGAAGGAAUGAAGAGAGAAAGGAAGGCAGGGAAGGAGGGGAGAGAGGGAGGAAGGGGGAAAGGAAAGAAGGAAGGAAGAAGGAAAGAAGAAAGGAAGGAAAAAAGGAAGGGAAAGAGGAAGGGAAAGAGGAAGGAAGGAAGGAAGGAAGGGCAAUUGGUACUAAAUUCUUGUAGUGCCCAGGCACUCUUCCCCUAGUGGGCAGGGCAGAGAGACUGUGAAAGGUGGAGAUGAAGGAGAGCCAUCAUUUCACUCUUGAGAAAGGACGGAGCAGGCUGUGUGGAAGAGAUGAGAUCUGGGAUAAAUUGGAAAAGGUAUCAAAAAAUUAGGAGGGAAGAAAUAUUUUCAGCAAGUCUGCUACCACACUCCUCAAAUUCAACUAAGAGUGGUGAUUUAAUAUGGUCACAGGACGGCUGCCUCAGCUCCAAACAGCAACAUCUGAAGGAGAAAGGUAGGAGACAGGUGCAGAAGGAAGCUUUCUCUCUGGGAAGAUACUCCUUUUCAUCUGGGAAAAAUAUUUUCCAUAGCAUCCCCUGGCCAAGUUUCUCCUACACUUUAUGGCAAGAGUUGGGCACACAGGCACACACGGCCUAACCUACUGGCAUGGAAAGGGAGCCCCAUGGCUGUUUCUGAGCAACCACGGUUUAUCCCCCGGCUUGAGGCAGGAACUGGCCUCCUCUGAGGUUGGGGACUUUUCAGCCAGUAUCUGAGCAAAACUGAGGCUGCACUAGCAGAGAAGACCUGAGAGAAAUGGCUGCUGGGCAGGCAACAACACUGUCUGGGUAGUGGUGCAUGACCCGGCGGCUUGCAAGCUCCUUCCUCCUCACUUAGUGGUCUUCACUCAAAGGAAAACAUCUUUCCAAGUUUAAAUUGUAUUAAAGGUCUCCUUCCUCUCUCCUAGUCUACAGUAACGCUCUUACCCAAUCCAUUCCAAGUUUAAAUUGUAUGAAAGGUCUCCUUCCUCUGUCCUAGUCUAUAGCAACACUCUUAC